rnacentral:misc_RNA from 1 species
GAUGAAGAACGUAGCGAAAUGCGAUAAGUAAUGUGAAUUGCAGAAUUCAGUGAAUCAUCGAAUCUUUGAACGCACCUUGCACCCUUUGGCAUUCCGAAGGGUAUGCUCGUUUGAGUGUCAUUGUACUCUCACACUUCCGAUCUUUGGAUUGGGAGCGGUGGACUUGGGUGUUGCUGCUUACUGUGGCUCACCUCAAAUCGAUUCGUGCACCUCUUGGUUGGACAUAGUACGGCGUGAUAAGUGUCUUCGCCGGCACCUCAGUAGAGGGUGGCUGAUCGGGAGCUCUGUUGCUUCAAACUGUCUUCGGACAAUCUUCUGGCGACUUGACCUCAAAUCGAGUAGGACUACCCGCUGAACUUAAGCAUAUCAAUAAGCGGAGGA